GACGAACGCUGGCGGCGUGCUUAACACAUGCAAGUCGAACGCUGAAGCUUGGUGCUUGCACUGGGUGGAUGAGUGGCGAACGGGUGAGUAAUACGUGAGUAACCUGCCCUUGACUCUGGGAUAAGCCUGGGAAACUGGGUCUAAUACUGGAUACGACAUGCCACUGCAUGGUGGUGUGUGGAAAGGGUUUUACUGGUUUUGGAUGGGCUCACGGCCUAUCAGCUUGUUGGUGGGGUAAUGGCCUACCAAGGCGACGACGGGUAGCCGGCCUGAGAGGGUGACCGGCCACACUGGGACUGAGACACGGCCCAGACUCCGACGGGAGGCAGCAGUGGGGAAUAUUGCACAAAGGGCGGAAGCCUGAUGCAGCGACGCCGCGUGAGGGAUGACGGCCUUCGGGUUGUAAACCUCUUUCAGCACGGAAGAAGCGAGAGUGACGGUACGUGCAGAAGAAGCGCCGGCUAACUACGU
rnacentral:rRNA from 1 species